UACGGGGGGGGCAAGCGUUGUUCGGAAUUACUGGGCGUAAAGGGCUCGUAGGCGGCCAACUAAGUCAGACGUGAAAAUCCCCUCGGCUUAACCGGGGGAACUGCGUCUGAUACUGGAUGGCUUGAGGUUGGGAGAGGGAUGCGGAAUUCCAGGUGUAGCGGUGAAAAUGCGUAGAUAUCUGGAGGAACACCGGUGGCGAAGGCGGCAUCCUGGACCAAUUCUGACGCUGAGGGAGCGAAAAAGCCCAGGGGGGAGCAAAACG
rnacentral:rRNA from 1 species